CUGGAGAUCAGACGCUGAGGAGACCACCCCAUUUUAAACAUGCUGCAGUGUCCCUAGAGCAGCAAGUCUCCAAAAGCCAGGGAUGAGGAGGAAUGCCACAGCAAUUUAAGCCAAGCUGCCCCAGGAGGUGCAGGCUGCAUCCAUAUCUUGGCCCAAGAUGAACCAAACCAUCCACACGGAAGCAGGAAAAGGGACUUCGCAGAUUUUAAAAGAGUUUUCUGUGUCUUACGGGGGAAACGAUGUCAUACAGACUCUUACAGAAUCAUCCAGACAGCAAGUUCACUGUACCCAUGCCAGCCGUCUCCAUUGAAAUAACUUGUCCUGUUGCUAAUGCUGCUGGUUUUGCAUACGACCAGGUAUCCAUGACUACAGAGAAGAUCAGUAAGGGCUGAAGACAUGCAUUUACUCGUGCCAGUGUCAGCAUGAGAGUGAGUGAAACAGCACAGCCAAGAAGUUGCCUUCCUGUACUGGAAAGCAAUGCACACUAACCGGUAUUCAAAUUUGGAUUCAAAUACCAGUGAAAGGAGUUAAAGGGGCAUCUAAUCCAGAAAGCAGAAAUCAUCA
rnacentral:lncRNA from 1 species